GUCACGCCCGAAUCGUUACUCCAACCAUUCGUGGGGGAGGAUGCCUAAGGCAGUGCUGGUGACUGGGGUGAAGUCGUAACGAGGUAGCCGUACCGGAAGGUGUGGCUGGAUCACCUCCUUUUAGGGAGACCUAUCCAACUGAGAAUCGAAAGCACAGAGCAAAUAGAUGAACAGAUGGUCUACUCUAGGUCGGUCGAGAUUGGUAAAAGCUUUCAAAGUAUUACUUGUUCCGGUUUUUAGUUUACUUACGUGUAUAGUUUAUCUAGAUAGAAACAAUCCAGCAACUAACGGAAGUUAGACUGCUGGGUGAAAACCUAGCCAGAACCUUGAAAACUGCAUAAAAACGCGAUUAGAUUAGCAGGCAGACAUAGACAAACUGUGAAUGCAGGAUAAAACCAAAGAGAAAGUGGUCAAGCUAAUAAGGGCUAAUGGUGGAUACCUAGGCACACAGAGG
rnacentral:misc_RNA from 1 species